UUUUUUUCUGAGAUGGAGUCUCGCUCUGUCGCCAGACUGAAGCGCAGUGGCACAAUCUCGGCUCAGUGCAACCUCUGCCUCCCGGGUUCAAGCGAUUCUUCUGCCUCAGCCUCCCAAGUAGCUGGGACUACAGGCACACGCCACCACGCCCAGCCAAUUUUUGUAUUUGUAAUAGAGAUGGGGUUUCACCAUGUUGGCCAGGAUGGUCUCAAUCUCUUGACCUCAUGAUCCGCCCACCUCGGCCUCCCAAAGUGCUGGGAUUACAGGCAUGAGCCACCGCGCCUGGCCUUUUUUUUUUUUUUUCUAAAGUAAGACUGGUUUAGUUCAAGAGGUAUAUACUAAGAUCUUUCCAGCAUAGGGCUUCUCUGAUUCUGUGUUUAAUCUCAGUCCAAAUUUUGUGAAGAUCCUCAGCAAAUAAAUGGAUGUGGGAAAUGUGUGAUUGGGAAAGAGGCAGCUUUUAAAAAUGUGUCUGGCCUUUGACCACGCAAUUUCACUUUCCAGUAUUUAUUCUAGGAAAAUACUCAUACUAUUGCAAAGUUUAUAUAUAAAGAUAGUUAUAACUGCAUUGUUUAUCAUUUACAAAAAGAAAACAUCUGAAAGCCCAACAAGACGGAACUGGUUAUUCCACAUUGGCACAUUCCUACAAGGGAAUGUCAUUAGGAAGAAUGAUGAAGAUAAAUAUUUAUUGAUGAGAAAGAUAUUUGAACAUACCAUUUUUUUAAAAAAGAAAUGGAAAAAUCUUACAAACCAUUCAAGGAAAGUAGCUUUGGAUUCAGCCUGAAGGGUUGAGAUCUAGCUUAGUCUCUUAACCAACUUGGGAACUCAGGCAAGUAAUGUGAUCUCCCUGAACUUGUUUCCUGCCUGUAAACGGGGCACAAUAACACCUAUCUUGUGAAGUUGGAAGGAUUAAGAGAGAUUAACACAUCUAAAGGCCUCAGCACAGCCCAGUAGGUGAUGAUUGCUCAGUAGCUGGGUGCUUAGAUGAGACAUGGACUGUGAUAGUAUUUUUACCCGUUUAUAAGCCUGGAAACAUUCUGGAAAUUCAUACACCAGCAGUGGAGUUUUCUGACUGAUAGAAUCAUGGGUGAUUAUUAAUAUUUUCUUAUUUUUCUACAAGGAAUAUCUCCUGCUUAUCUAAGGAUGGUAUAGUUUAAAAAAAAGUGACAAUUUAAAAGGUUAAAAAAAAAACAGUGCAUUUCAGCAGGUAAGUUUGCUAAGUAGUCCCUGCACAGAGCUCUGGAGAACUGAGAGAGAGGUGGGAAAGAAAGGGAAUAGAGAGAACAAUGGGUGAAGGAAAAGAGAAGGGGAGGUCAGACCCCAGGGCUAGUGGCCAAGGAGAUGCACCUCGGCGGUAACGCUAGAGCCCCACCAAGCAUGUGUUUGUCCUCCCAUCCCCUAUGAUUGGCACCUCCCGGGAGAGCUCCAGGUAGGAGAUCUUGUAACCCAAGGCUCAUCUGUCCCAGCUUCUGAUGACAAUAAAUGUGUGUAGCCUCUUUUAGCGGCCG
rnacentral:lncRNA from 1 species